AUGUGCUUGCUGACCUGCUUGGGCUACAUCGCCGCUGAAACUGCAAACAGCCCCUGCCUGUCUUGUCACGUGAUCUUUGUAUUCUUGCUUGUGAUAUUGGAAGCUGCAAUCGUCGCCGAUGUAUUUCUGAAUAGCUACUGGGAGGAGGACAAAUCCCACCAGAUAUAUAUUGUUGCUCACUUUGCUUGCUGGAUCAAUAUAUUGCUGGAUAUAUAUUGUUGGUCAUUUUGCUUGCUGGAUCGAUCAAUAUAUUGCUGGAUAUAUAAGCCAUCUUGCUGCUGCUCGCUGAAGCAUGCAGGAAAAAAAAUGCUAUUUGGCAUAUAA
rnacentral:rRNA from 1 species